UACGGAGGGUGCAAGCGUUAUCCGGAUUCACUGGGUUUAAAGGGUGCGUAGGUGGGCAGGUAAGUCAGUGGUGAAAUCUCCGGGCUUAACCCGGAAACUGCCAUUGAUACUAUCAGUCUUGAAUACCGUGGAGGUAAGCGGAAUAUGUCAUGUAGCGGUGAAAUGCUUAGAUAUGACAUAGAACACCAAUUGCGAAGGCAGCUUACUACCCGAAUAUUGACACUGAGGCACGAAAGCUAGGGGAGCGAAUGGG
rnacentral:rRNA from 1 species